rnacentral:rRNA from 1 species
CCUACGGGUGGCAGCAGUGAGGAAUAUUGGUCAAUGGGCGGGAGCCUGAACCAGCCAAGCCGCGUGAGGGAAGAAGGUACAGCGGAUCGUAAACCUCUUUUGUCAGGGAACAAAGGCGGGGACUAGUCCCCGGAUGAGGGUACCUGAAGAAAAAGCAUCGGCUAACUCCGUGCCAGCAGCCGCGGUAAUAAGGAGGAUGCGAGCGUUAUCCGGUUUUGUUGGGUUUCAAGGGUGCGCAGGCGGCAUGUUAAGUAAGCGGUAAAAUCGCGGUGCUCAACCCCGGCGUGCCGUUGAAACUGGCGGUCUGGAGUUGGAGAGAAGUACGCGGAAUGCGCGGUGUAGCGGUGAAAUGCUUAGAUAGCGCGCAGAACCCCGAUUGCGAAGGCAGCGUACCGGCUCCACACUGACGCGGAGGCACGAAAGCGUGGGUAUCGAACAGGAUUAGAUACCCGAGUAGUC